rnacentral:rRNA from 1 species
UACGUAGGCAGCAAACGUUGUUCGGAAUUACUGGGCGUAAAGAGUGUGUAGGCGGUUGGGUAAGUUUGGUGUGAAAUCUCCCGGCUUAACUGGGAGGGUGCGCCGAAAACUGCCUGGCUUGAGUACUGGAGAGGAAAGCGGAAUUCCUGGAGUAGCGGUGAAAUGCGUAGAUAUCAGGAGGAAUACCGAUGGCGAAGGCAGUGCUCUGGGCUAACAUUGACGCUGAGGUGCGAAAGCGUGGGUAGCGAACGGG